UACGUACGUGGCGAGCGUUAUCCGGAAUUACUGGGCGUAAAGCGUGCGUAGGCGGUUUAGUGUGUGGGAUUUGAAAGCCCGGGGCUCAACUCCGGAUCCGGAUCCCAAACUGCUAGACUCGAGAGUAUCAGAGGAGAGCGGAAUUCCCGGUGUAGCGGUAAUAUGCGUAGAUAUCGCGAGGAACACCAGUGGCGAAGGCGGCUCUCUGGGGUAUUUCUGACGCUGAGGCACGAAAGCCAGGGGGGCGAACGGG
rnacentral:rRNA from 1 species